GCGCACCAGGCGAGAAACCUUCGCAAUGCGCGAAAGCGCGACGAGGGGACUCCGAGUGCCUAUGCUCAGCAUAGGCUGUUCACCGGUGUAAAAGCCGGUGGAGGAAGGGGUGGACAAGACUGGUGCCAGCCGCCGCGGUAAUACCAGCGCCCCAAGUGGUGAUCGAUAUUAUUGGGUCUAAAACGUCCGUAGCCGGCCCGGUAAAUCUCCGGGUAAAUCGUCCAGCUUAACUGGUCGAAUUCUGGGGAGACUGCCGGGCUUGGGGACCGGGAGAGGUCGGAGGUACUCCAGGGGUAGGGGUGAAAUCCUGUAAUCCCUGGGGGACCACCGGUGGCGAAGGCGUCCGACUAGAACGGGUCCGGCGGUAAGGGACGAAGGCUAGGGGAGCAAACGGGAUUAGAUACCCGUGUAGU
rnacentral:rRNA from 1 species